UACGGAGGGUGCAAGCGUUAAUCGGAAUUACUGGGCGUAAAGCGCACGCAGGCGGUCUGUCAAGUUGGAUGUGAAAUCCCCGGGCUCAACCCGGGAACUGCAUUAGAAACUGGCAGACUAGAGAGUUGUAGAGGAGGGUGGAAUUCCAGGUGUAGCGGUGAAAUGCGUAGAGAUCUGGAGGAAUACCGGUGGCGAAGGCGGCCUCCUGGACA
rnacentral:rRNA from 1 species